rnacentral:misc_RNA from 1 species
AUUCUUAUUGUUAUCGUCGCCCAUUCUACAUGUGGGGAAAACGACGGUACUUCGCCCGUUAUGGUUAUGAUUAUGGUUUCUUUUAUUAGGAUUGGUGCUAUGAUCGGCACUGGUAUUGCUCAGCAACAUACAGCUUCCAGUAUUUUAACUUCUCAGACAGAUUUGCCUGAUUCUCAGAUUGCUAUUCGACAACAAAGACGGAGGAAAUAUAGAAGACUGUUAUUGUGGACUCGAAUUGCCUCAGUAAUUACAAUCAUGCAACUUCUUGGAGCUGUUUUUCUUUUGUUCACUGUCACCAAUCUCUUGCACCAUGAUACAGCAUCAAACAAUUGUCUGAGAGGGAUUCUCUCAAAUGGUUCGAAG